rfam:Brachypodium distachyon strain Bd21 chromosome 1, whole genome shotgun sequence.
GUUCUACUCCCUCCGUCCCAUAUUAAGUGCCGAAAUAUUACAUGUAUCUAGACGUAUUUUAGUAUAUAGAUACGUCCAUAUUUAGACAUAUUUGAGUCACUUAAUAUGGGACGGAGGGAGUAGUUU